GGAUAGUCUAGUGGUCAGAGUGUUUGACUCCCAGCUGAAAGGUAUUGGGUUCAAACCCCAAUGUCCCCA